AUGGAAUUCACAUUUGAAUACUCAAUACAAUUGUGCUAUGUAAACAAAAUUAGUCUAAAUAAAUUCAUAAUAGUAAUGGGAGAUCGACACAUAUUGCGUCGUCAAUUGUCGUCGUGUAGGCUCUACCACCGAUUGAUUGUAGAUAAGCGUAUACGUCAAUAUUUUAGUAGGAUUUAAGUUACAAUUGGGCAGGAAUUAUUUAACCAGGUGUAACGACGCAGCGCCAUGACAGAGACACCAAGCUAGCCCCCUAACUCAAAAUCAAUCGUGAGUUGUCACAGAGCUAAGGUAUCCAAUGAAAGCGGAAUGAACGGAAUGUCAAUUUAAAUGUUGAUAAUUACCACCCUUCAAACCGCGGUAAAGUUCCAAGUUACAUCCUUCGGAUCUGAAGCUCACGUUUUCAUUCGGGUGUUGACAAGAAAAGGGAUUCUAUUUGGUAGGGUUUUCUGAUAGGCGGAAGGACGCCCUUAACUUACGAAUUCAUUGAAUUGAUCAAAGUCACUCCAGAUACUUAUGGAGUCAUUCGAUCGAAAUGUGUUCAACAAUACGUGUUGUUGUCACCCAGCGCACAUUUUCAUUGGAAUUACAUAAAAGUUAUAUUUAGUAUAUUUAUUCCGUGCAUUUAGCUUUGGAUGAAAAAAAAUUCGAAUUGUCAAUUCCAAACCGAACUAACUAUGAAUUUAAGCAUUUAUCACAUUUUCGGACGAUUUCAACGAAAACUUUUUUUAGUGUUAUUUAUCAUAGUUAUAUGUUUUAUAUAUUUACGUGCAUUGAUAUCUUCUAGAUUAAGUGAACAAGUACAAAUUCCGUGUUAUAAGCAUCCGAACGAUUCGCCGCAAUCACUAUUCAAUUUCCCUGAUAUUCUUGAUGCAGAAAAACAACCAUUGCCCGGCAAAUCAAUCUUUUUCCACGUCGAAACAUCGUGCAAUGCGGAUGGUAUUGCCGAAUUGAAUGCAAAACAAGCCUGUGUCAUUGAGUCGGCAGCACGUUGGAAUCCAAACCGUGAUGUAUUCGUUAUAUUUGCGUCACCAGUUGGCAUAAGAGACUAUCCACAUUGGCCUCCGUUCAUUGAACAACUCAAGGAAUAUGACAAUAUUUACUUUCGAAAUAUGAACUUGUGGCUCCGAUUGAAGAAUGGGCCAAAACCACUCAACCCUUUCGCACUUACUAUUCGAAUGAGUACCUGUCCGAUCAUUUUAGAGCGUUGACUUUGUAUAAAUUCGGCGGUUUUUAUAUAGAUUCGGAUGUGAUCGUACAGAAAAGUCUCUAUGAUUUGGGCGAUGAAGAUUUUGUCGGCGAUGAUUGGGACGAUGUAGUUAAUGACGGUGUUAUGCACUUGAAUAAUUACGGUGUUGGACGUCAAGUGUCUGGUCGAUACUUGGAGAAAUUGAUGGAACAUUUCGAAGGACAGAUUUUGAUAACAAAUGGACCACGAUUAUUGACAAACAUUUUCACCGAUAUUUGCAAAAUGGAAGAUCACACCUUAUGGAAUCACAUUGUUAUCAAAUGGAAAAAUCAAAAGACAUACGUCAACAAGAAAAAGAAAACAACAAAGAAUAUUAUCACUUGCAGUCAGAUUGAAAUAGCCGAAAAAAGACGAAUUGCAAUUGAAAGAUUGCAUCAAACACGAAUGAAAAAUACAACAAAAAAAUGCACGGCCGAAGAAAUUGAAUGCAAACGGCGUAUAGCACAAGAACGAUUGAAAAAACAUAAACAAAGUCUUAGUUUCCAUGAAAAAAAGCUACAAAUAGGUUUAAGUUCGAAUUUCAUUUCAUUUAUUAUAUAAAUUUAAAUUUUUUUUUUUACUUUUAAAAUAUACGUCUUAAUUAUACUUAAUUAAUAGAUUAUAAAGAGGAAGAGAAAAAAGCAGUCUAUGUAUUUCGGAUGGAUAUCCAUCCGAGAUAUUUUAGAAUAUCUGGAUAUUCAA